UACGUAGGGUGCGAGCGUUAAUCGGAAUUACUGGGCGUAAAGCGUGCGCAGGCGGUCUGUUAAGUCCGAUGUGAAAUCCCCGGGCUUAACCUGGGAACUGCAUUGGUGACUGGCAGGCUUUGAGUGUGGCAGAGGGAGGUAGAAUUCCACGUGUAGCAGUGAAAUGCGUAGAGAUGUGGAGGAAUACCGAUGGCGAAGGCAGCCUCCUGGGACAACACUGACGCUCAUGCACGAAAGCGUGGGGAGCAAACAGG
rnacentral:rRNA from 1 species